rnacentral:lncRNA from 1 species
CUUGCUCAUACUCAACCCGACUUGAGAAAAGUAAAGUCUCUGAGCAUUUACUCAAAACCGUAUGAAUAAAACGGUACUUUGCUCAGAGUAAGUUCGAAUUUCGAACUUAGCUUUUACUCUGUCAAAAUUUUUGUUUUUGUUUUGGCUAUCCGAUUUUUGCGCAGCAGCCAACAGUUCCUUUGAAGAUCUCAAGCAUAAAUUUUGCUUGAGAAAGAAAUCAACCGCCUGUGCCGGCUUCUGAUGAACUCACACACCCCGGCGAAGCUAUUCAAUCACGUCUGCCGGGAAUAAGUCAGUGAGCGCAAGAAACUGCAACCAUCGUGUGCCGCCUGCAAAGACUGCAUUUGAUACAUGAAGGAUGUUGCUGCAGUUUUUCUCAUGUGACGGCUGCCGGUUCGUCCACAAAGAUCUUACCAAUCAAACGGUGACCGUACCCUCCCAGAACAAGCUAAAUUCCACUGAACGAUAACGUCGAGCUUAGUUCCUGUAGGGUCGAUAUGUAACAGCACCAGGAUUAUCGUAAGAAUGAAGUUAAACCGGCAGCAUCUUCAUUAACAACCAACCAGCAUUAGCAGCAUCAGCAACAAAAGGAAAUUGCAUUGAAUCCAACACGUCUGUGUGUUAUAUGUUAAUUCAAGAUGCCACAGGUGACCGGAUUGGCACUAGUGAAUGAGAAACUAUAGGACUAGGGAAGUGCAUCGUAGUUAACGCAGGCAUUGGAAACAAGAUUGAAAUUUAAAGAAAUAAACGUCGUUACGAAAAUUAACCGUAUGUUCGUCAACAUUUUUCACCAGCUGAUAUCUAUUGGUUUUGCCCAAAACCCACCACAGAUUUUGUAAGAAUCUGCCAAAAUCUGCUUCUUCUUUCGUAACACGUAACAUCAUCCUACCAGUAAAGAUGAGUAAGAGCCUACUUUUGGUGAGGACUUUCUUUACCAACUGACCAAUUUAUCAUGUGUAUAUCGUGUGGCUGGUACGAAGAUACUCUAUGCCCUGGAAAGUAAAGAAAAAUGCCAACCCGGUAGGAUUUGAAACCACGACCCUCAUCUUGAAGUUGCUGAAUAGCUGCGAAUUUAAUGCUACGACUAUCUGGCCCUUAUCCGCCAAAAUCCGUAUGGAAUAUCCUUAAAAGACCUGAUCAGAUAAACUGCUAGUUAUCUCAAAAUAAUCUAAUUCAUAAUAUUUUGAAGAAUUCGUCUUAAAACAGAAAGAUCUUCAUAAAAAAUCCAAGAAAGGCCUUCCUUAGA